AGUCGUAACAAGGUUUCCGUAGGUGAACCUGCGGAAGGAUCAUUACUAAAUCCACCUUAUAUAAUCCAUGUUGAAACGUAUGAUGUGCGUGGAGGGCGUGGCGUGGAGAGAUCAUGGAGAUGGGAUGAUCCCAUCCACAUAUCCAUAUGAUCAUUCAUCCAUCAUCACCCAACACCACAUUACUUUAUACACGAUGUAUCCAUGGACAAUAACAUAUACACAUAUGAUAUCAUCAUAUAUUAUAAUAUAAAGCAUAACUUUUAACAAUGGAUCUCUUGGCUCUU
rnacentral:misc_RNA from 1 species